rnacentral:lncRNA from 1 species
GGGUACAUUAACUCGGCGGGCGGUGGGGCCCUGCAGUGCUGGCACCACAGAGCUCGGCUCCAAACAGAAGCAAAAAGAGCCACCGAGAGCAUUUUGAGAAGGGCCUAAAAUACAGCUUGCCUGGCAGUAAUGCUGCCUACCCAAGCAAAUUUUGCAGAGAGCAAAGGAAGACCGGAGAAAGUGGGAGCCUGGGGUGGUUUGGCCAACUGAAGUCAUCCUCCUGUGCUUCCCCACUGAAUGAGCCACCCUCAGGUGUUUAACUCCUAACAUUUCCAGGUGUCCACAGCUGCUCUGCAGGGCAAAUAAGGCUUUAGCAGGUGUUGGAAGCUGAUACUUCAUUGUGGAUUCCUCUUAUAAAUAAACUGAAGGCUGUUCUGCUCUAAGUCUUGGCGCUUUCCUUCUGUAACAAAACAUUUAGGCAGGCAAAUAUCCUUUGUAAUUUAUAUUUGGGGAUUGUAGGUGUCCUUAAGUAUGUAAACAGGCUAAAAAAUCAUUUUUAUUUUAUUCUUUUUCUGUGGGAUGUAGUUGUGUUUUCGUGUGAGCUAGGUGCUGUCAGGCCAGCUGCUCUGGGAUGUCAGCGCGUUUUGCAGUGACUCCAGUUUCUUCCAGUUGCUGCAGCAGGCUUUGAGGAUCCGUGGCUCUGGCCUGACAUACUGCACAGGCCCCAGGCUCUGUGGGAUCUCUGUAGGAGCCCCAAGGCACCAAGGUCUCUGCUGGGAGCUCAGCCCUGCUUAAUCCGUAUGUCAGCAGGCUAUGGGACCUGGUGCCAGUCCCUGGUCAAUCUAGGAGCAAAGCAGGCAUCAAAGCUUUUGCAAGAAAAUCAGAUUAGAUUCACGGAACCUGAGAUGUUUUGGAUGAAGUUCUGUAUGCCUUUCUUGGUGAACCAAGGCUUUGGAAGAUUUCUGACCAGCUCUGCUGCUCACAUCUCCACUCAAGGAAUGGAAAUAUCCAGUGCCAUGCUGCAAACACAGCACAGAGAGACAGCUCCCUGCCUUGAAAUGUGGCCUCUCCAGUGA